rnacentral:rRNA from 1 species
UACGGAGGAUCCAAGCGUUAUCCGGAAUUACUGGGCGUAAAGAGUUGCGUAGGCGGCAUUGCAAAGUAGGUAGUAAAAGCCUGGGGCUCAACCCCUUAAAUAUUAUCUAAACUGCAAAGCUAGAAUUUGGAAGAGGUAGCUGGAAUUCCUUGUGUAGGAGUGAAAUCCGAUAGAUAUAAGGAGGAACACCGAUGGCGUAGGCAGGCUACUGGUCCAAUAUUGACGCUAAGGCACGAAAGCGUGGGGAGCAAACGGGG